UUCUGCUUCUUCAAUGGAGAGGUUCUGGGCGUCCUUCGCAAGACCCUGUCACAGUCACCUUGGUUUUCGUACGAGGGCCGACGGAUGUCUUAUGCAAAUACGAGUAUAAGCCGCCGCUAUCACAGCUUGCGCUCCAAACUUUCCUCGCCAUCAGCACCAGGUCCUCCGCAUUCAUUUUAUGCCAAGGCACUCACCUGACGGCAGAAGUCCGUCGGCUUCGCCCAACCAUCAGCAGACCAUGCUGUAAGACGCCGAGUGUAGAAGACUCAAGGGUUUCGUGCUCCUUUAGUGUGUUUGGUCGAACUGCAUCGCAGUGCUAUGCACGCAGUCGCACAAGCCUGGUGACACAUGCAAUCAUCUUCAAGGAUGUCGGUUCUUGGAAGCAAAGACCCCGGUUGUCACGGUGGACGUUAGGAUUAACACCACCGACCCUAUGUCAUCGCUGCUGCACAAUGUUUGUUACUUCAUCGUGGUGUUCUUUUUCCCGCGAAUGAAUAUACGUACUUUUGUCUGUACUUGUAUUUAAUGAGAAUAUCCCAGAAGCAUUCCAAUAUUUU
rnacentral:lncRNA from 1 species